CGUAAAAUUAGUGUUGGUCACCGUGUGCGCCGAUUGUGCGCUAUCGACAGCGAACCUUAUCGCGGAACCGGCCGCGUUGUGACUGGUUAUACGAGACGUGUGUAUUUGUUGUCAGUUUUAACACUGGAGACUGCGGGCUUGUACGGGGCAGUGUGUGAACGCGCUAACAUUGUGCAGUGCGUUGGCGAGCGCCGUGACGAGCGCGCCGGUGGGCGGCGGCCGCGCUUUCAGCAACUCUUGCGACGGCGACACGUACUCAUCAACACCCUUCUGCGCGCGAACCUCUAGCUCCGCCCGACGCUCCAAUAGAGUUAACGACACAUUCGCUUCUAGAACAUAACAUUCAACUAUAUUAGGUAAACACAAUACUGAUAAUCAAUAUAGUUCCCUAUCUAUACAUCAGUAGGCACUUAAUUGAUAACAGGACGCUAGUGAUUAAAUAUUUAUAGUGAUUAAAAUAUUUGAAACAUGAAUAUGAUUUAGAUUUAGCAUAGCUUUCCCGUUUGCAUUUACUGGCAUGCUUAUCUAUUAAGAAACAAGGCAAGCCAAUGUUCCGGAUCUUAACAUUUACUCGUCUUACAGUUAUACUUACAUAAAAGGUACAUAAUCUAA